GUGGGCCUGCGGGUGGCAGGCUGACCACAGCGGAACAGUCCUUCAGGAUCACCCUAAACUGUAUGGAAAAUGUAUUGGACACUAGAAUGAAAAAAGAGACUUUUUCAAGUCCUCGAGGUACGCAUCACCGUGGAGGCUGGGAGAGUUUGGUGACAGUGCUGGGAUCCUAAGGAGACCUCACACGGCUUCGGGGACAGCAAGAAACACAGGCAGUGGAGACUGUGAGCCCCGAGGUGUCUCUGUCACCGUUUGUGAGGCCGUGGAACAAGAAUACCACCCGACCCUCAUGAGCCACAUGCCGGAGAGUACUCGUACUGGAAGAGACGAGUCAAGUCAAGUCAAGGACUCCCUCUGUCCUAUUGUGAAAGGACCUUUCUGGUACUGCUGACCAGUUCCUGCCCAGCUAACCCUGGAGGCAUCUGCCCCAACGUCCAGGAGUCAGGGGACCUGAAAGGAACAGCCGCAAGCUCUCCAGCCACCAGCAGCAGAGGGCUAGCCCAGAUGUCGGACCAGGCCUCGAACUCUCCUCCUUCCCUCUGAAAAUCGUGACAGGCAAAAAUGAAGCAGACUCCUCCACCCAUUUGAUUUUGCAGAACUGAGAAUCAGGAAGGAAUCCUACCAAGAACUCCUGACACCGCUGCUCGAUUACAGGGUGCUGAACCCUAGUGCGUAUUUUGUGACCGAAGAAGGCUCCAUCUCCCGUCUGGUCCACUGCAGAAGCUGGAGACGCCAGACUCAAACUGACAAGUUAGAGGGGUACCAAGUCGAGGUUGAGGGCUUCCUCCCAAGGUGUGGCAAAUUUCUCCUUCCCUCUCUGACCAUUCUUCCCCUAAUUCUUACUCCAUGAAGGUCUGCGUGAUCCUUUUGUCCACCUUUCUCCUGGCCCUGGCCUGCAGAGAUAAUGCCAUUGUGCACCCGUCUCAGGCCACUGCCACGGGAGAGGUAAUCUGCCCGUCACAGACUUCUGCCUGACUGCCCGCGCCUCAGUUACCCUGGGCCCAACGCAGCCCCUCUCUCCACCAGGUCACAGGCCCUGGUUACGAACCCCAGGCCCAGAGAACUUGGCGUCCAGGCUCUGUCCAAAGAAAGGGACACCAGGCAAGGGUAAUAACCAAAUAAAACCACAGACCUCGAGUUGUACUGGCCUCCGUGGCUGUCCUCCUCUGAGUCCCAAGCCACAGACUCAAAUAGAAAUGACCAAGAACCAUUCACGAAUCCAAGUUUGCUUCCCUUGGCAGAUCGUCCGCCUCCUGGACAGGAGUAAGCACGAGCAAGCCUGCACUUUGGGACUUCUCCCUCACUCUCGCAGAUGUCGCAGAAUUGGCUUCUAGAACAAGACCUGCCUCACGAAUUCCUAGGCUCUCUGCCCGAGCUGUUCCUACGCAUAGCCCUGGAGUGUCUCUCAGCUGAGGUGCUGCUGUGGCCAAACAGUGCCACUUGCUGAACUCGGAUCGAUGCUUCCCGGGAAGUGAAGACUCAGUUACCCAACACCCCCGCACACGGCAGUGGCUUACAAAAGGGACUCCGUCGGUGGGGUCUUCCUGAUCAGUUGUUCCUCUGCUCUGAUAACCACAGUCGUCCCACUCACGCACGCUUUGCUCUCAAAAGCUUUAACUACAUGGUUGCAGCCAUUCACCACCCAGCAAAGGAUCUCUCUACGGACAGAACUUCAGAAAAGGAACGAAGAGAAUGACCAGUGUAAAUAAUGAACCUGAUCUACUGACCUGUGAGUACCGCACAGAUUCAGCAAAACCUGUGAGAACUGAGCGUUAGCUACAAGUAACCCUAAUGCCUUAAGUUUUGAUCACAUCUCUUGGUGAGGCUAGGAGUCUGAUUAAAAGGAAGGAAUUGUUAAAAAUAAGAAAACGAGCCCCAAAUGGAGUCACCGAUGCUAAGACCCACAUCACCAAACUGAGACCUCAACUUUAGUAUCAGUUCUCCCAGAGUCAUAACCCAAUCAAAAAUGACCUUGCAAGAACCAGUCGAUUUUUUGCCUCGUAUAAAUCCGUGUUCCUGCUCCCUUCUGCCUAGAGAAGUCUCAUCUGGAACAGCUCCUUUCUGUCUGCUAGAGAUGCUGCCCGAGUCAUGAAUUACUGAAUAAAGCCUAUACUGUCUCUCCGA